AUGAACGCUGGCGGCGUGCCUAACACAUGCAAGUCGAACGUGAGGGUAUAGCAAUAUGCCUGAAAGUGGCGAACGGGUGAGUAACGCGUAGGUAACCUGCCGCGCAGAGGGGGAUAACCAUUGGAAACGAUGGCUAACACCGCAUGGUCCUGGUUGGACGGGAGUUUGACCGGGUAAAACCUUGGGAAACCGAGAUGCUGCGCGAGGGGCCUGCGACCGAUUAGCUAGUUGGUGAGGUAAAGGCUCACCAAGGCGAUGAUCGGUAGCUGGUCUGAGAGGAUGAUCAGCCACACGGGAACUGAGACACGGUCCCGACUCCUACGGGGGGCAGCAGUGAGGAAUAUUGCACAAUGGGGGCAACCCUGAUGCAGCAACGCCGCGUGGAGGAUGAAGGUCUUAGGAUUGUAAACUCCUUUUUUCGGGGAAGAGUGAGGACGGUACCCGAAGAAUAAGUCACGGCUAACUACGU
rnacentral:rRNA from 1 species